GACGAACGCUGGCGGCGUGCCUAACACAUGCAAGUCAAGGAGAAUUGAAAAGCUUGCUUUUCAAGGACACUGGCGCACGGGUGAGUAACGCGUAGGCAAUCUACCUUUUACACUGACAUAACAGAUCUAACGAACUGCUAAUAUCAGAUGUAAUGUUUCUCUGGCAUCAGAGAAAUAUCAAAGGCUUCGGCCGGUAAAAGAUGAGCCUGCGUCCCAUUAGGUAGUUGGUAGGGUAACGGCCUACCAAGCCAACGAUGGGUAGCUGGUCUGAGAGGAUGAUCAGCCACAUUGGGACUGAGACACGGCCCAG
rnacentral:rRNA from 1 species